rnacentral:rRNA from 1 species
CUCGGAGUUUUCCUGGCUCAGAUUGAACGCUGGCGGAAUGCUUUACACAUGCAAGUCGAACGGUAGAGGGGGCAACCCCGUUGACGAGUGGCGAACGGGUGAGUAAUAUAUCGGAACGUGCCCAGUCGUGGGGGAUAACGGUAGUGAAAAUUACGCUAAUACCGCAUACGAUCUAAGGAUGGAAAGCGGGGGAUCGCAAGACCCUCGCGCGAUUGGAGCGGCCGAUAUCAGAUUAGGUAGUUGGUGAGUAAA